CACAGUCGCUGCAUACUCAGGGGGCCUGAAAAUGGAGAUGAGCCCUUCUCUAGCAGAUUUUUGCUGUGGCUUUUGUUUAAUGGAGAGAAGUUGAAUAAGAUUCACCGAAAACCCACCAAACUUUAAGAAGCGUUUAUGGAAGAGCUGUCAUGUUGGACUGAGCAUCGGGACCUUGGAGGCCCAAUGGAUUCUCUUGGCUCUACUAGGUGCGAGCUGUCCAGGCGCUUUCUAAUGCGGGGUGAGGUUUGCCGCCCCCUCCUGGUCUUACGGGGGAAUGGCAGCGUCUCAAGCUUUGCCAGGCACACUAAGGCGACCAGAGGCUGUCAACCAUCACCAAAUUGGCCUUCCCCGCCAUCAAAGGAGUGCUUGGGCUGGCUGCGCGCCAUCUCGGCGGCCUCGGUUUCCCAUUUUUGGUAGAAGUCUCACGUUUCCAUCCGUAGCUGGUUGGUAGGAGGCUCGGAGGAAUAAGGAUAACCAGAGUGAAGAAGACAGAGUGUUUUCUCUCCUCCACAAAAGCAGGGUUCUGUAGAGUUUCAUCUUUCAAGUGGAAAGGUACAAACGUCCAUGUGAGAAAGAGAACAGGGCUCCUCUGGAACCCACCAGCUGCCUUCUGCCUACAGCCUCCUUCCGGAGUCCAUGCAGGAUCCUGUGACCGGAUUCUUCUUCGAGGCCAGCUCUGGGCUCUGUGAGAUGUUCACAUAUGGGGGUUGCAGAGGGAAGGAGGACCAAUUUGGGGGGUGUGGUGGUUUGAAUAGGAAUGGCCCCCAAAGAUUCAUGUGUGUGAAUGCUUGGCCUAUAGGAGUGGUGCUAUUAUGGGGUGUGAUCUUCUUGGAGUAGGUGUGGCCUUGGAGGAAGUGUGUCACCGUAGAAGUGGGCUUCGAGGUCUCAUAUGCUCAAGCUAGAUUGCUCAAGCAGUCUCCUUCUGCUGCCAGCGGAUCAAGAGCUUUACCUCCACGAGCCCCGACCAUGGCCAUGGCCUCGACCAUGACCCCGGCCCCUAAGACCGCUGCUGAAUCCUCCCUGGAAGCCGCCUUGGCCUCCUAAUCCUGGGCCCUUGGGUCCUCCGUGCCCUUCUGCUACACCGGCGUCAUCCACCAUUUGGUGUUUUCCCGAAGAAGAAGCAAAAUAUAGAACUCUUAGGCUCCUUCUCCAGCACCACAUCUGCCUGCACACCACCAUAUCUUACCAUGAUGAUAAUGGACUAAACCUUUGGACUGUAAGCUAGCCUCAAUGAAAUGUUUUCCUUUAUAAGA